ensembl:lncRNA
UUUUUUUUUUUUUAAUUAUUUAUUUAUUUUUUAUUACUCAAAUGGAUUUAUCACAUCUGUAGUUGUAUAAUGAAGAAUUCCAAGAAGUUCUUAACAUCAAAAGAAAUCUUUGCCUAACCUAAAGCCACAUGUAUUUUUUCCUAAAAGUUUUAUAGUUUUAGGUUUUACAUAGACUCUGAUAUUUUUGAGUCAGUUUUUGCAUAUAGGUAUCCAGUUGUUAACAGCAUCACUUGAUAAAACACUUUCCAUUCUCUACUGAAUUGCUUUUGCUGCUUUUUCCAAAACCAACUGACCAUACAAGUACAGGUUUAUUUCUGGAUGCUAGUUUAUUACAUUAACACCUUUUUCUGUCUUUAUGCCAAUACUGUCUUGAUUACUGAACCUUUGAGUCCUGAAGUCAGGCCUCAACUUUAUUCUUCAAAACUGCCUUGACUCUUCAUCUUUUUUUUGCAUUUCCAUGUGAACUGUGGAAUCAGCUUGUUGAUUUCUAUUAAAAAGCCCACAGAGAUUUUGAUUGAGAUGGUGCUGACUCUGGAAAUGAAUUGUGGGAGAAUCUACGGCUCAACAAUAUUGGGAUUUCUGAUGCAUAAACACAUCUCUGUAUUUCUUCAAUAUUUCUCUCAACUGUGUUUUGUAGUCUUUCAAGUAUUUCAUUUUGGGGGGGCCAUUUUAAGAGGUAUUUUAAUUUCAAUUUCUGAUUUUCACUGCCCGUAUAUAGACAUGUAAUUGGUUUUUAUAUAUUAAUCUUGUAUUCUACAACCUUGAUAAAUUCACUUUGGGGAGGCCACACCCCCUGGCAAGUGGGAGUUCCUAGGCCGGGAUAGAACUUGUGCCAGAGCAAUAACCCAAGCCACUGCAGUGACAACACCAGAUCCUUAACCCACUGCACCACAAGAGAACUCCAAAUCCACUUAUUUCUAAGGCAAUUUUUUAUAUAAUCCAUAAGAUUUCUAUGCAAUUAAAUACAGUUUUACUGUUUCCUUUCUAGACUGCCUUUUGUUUCUUUUUCUUGCCUUGUUGCGCUGGUUAAGGCCUCUAGGACAAUGUUUAAUUCAAGCAGUGAGAAAAGACUUCCUCGCCUUUCUCUUGGUCAUCGAAGAAAAGCAUCCAUAAAUAUGAUGGCAGCUUUAGGGUUUUUGUAGAUAGAUGUUUUAGACAGCGUGGACUCCCGAUUACCAAAUACCAUGACUGGGUGGCUUACAUUUAUUUCUGACAGUUCUGGAGUCUGGGAAGUCCAAGAUCAAGGUGCCAGCAGAUCUGGUGUCUGGUGAGCUAGGUGUCUAAAUUCAUCUCUUCCCAUAGCAGGCCUUGGAACUGCAACACAGGACUGCCUCGUUUCUCCUACCACCAAUGAAUCAGUCCUUCUCUGCUAUCCAUAAACAAUCCAUUUCUUCCCCUCCUAAGGCUCCCUCACCACAACACAGAGCCUUAGAUGUAGAUGACACUCAACAUCAGAGAUGUAUGUGUAUAAAGACACAGUUCGGAUACUGUUUCAUCUACUAAGACUCAGUUACACACUUCCAACUUACAUAUCAAGCUGCACUUCAAUUUCAAAUGACUUCUUAAUACAUCACCAAUGUACUCCACCUCUUCCCUAUCAACCUAAAUAUCACCAAAUUUCACAACUAAAACAAUACUCACUCCCACACAUCAAAACAACCAAUUUUGGAGUUCCCAUUGUGGCUCAGCAGUAAGCGAACCCGACUAGCAUCCAUAAGGAUGAAAGUUCAAUCCCUGGCCUCAGUGGGUUAAGGAUCCACAUUGCUGCCGCUUAGGCUCAGAUAUGAUCCGUGGCCCAAGAACUUCCAUAUGCCCUCGGUGCGGGUAAAAAAAAAAAAAAAAAAAAA